CAGCUCAAAAAUCUUCAGAGAGUUGGAGUCAACAAUGUGAAAUCCCUCUGCUUCAGUCGCAAAUUACAUCCUGCUAACAGGCUAAUAUGGACACGUGAGAGCAAAGGAAAGAAACCUGGCGUCACGCUGGCGCUGAAAUCGUGUAAAAACAGCUUCAAAAAGAAGUUCUGACUUCAUCACGGGAGCAAAUCGGACAUCUGCUUUCAACUACGACAUCUGGAAACACUCACACACACACACACACUCACACACACUCACUCACACACACACACUUUGUAAUGUAAGCUGAUGUUUUAACACCUCAUACAUUUGUGCCUCUAAACUCCGCCUCCCCCUAGUUCUGCACAUAAGAGUGAAAUUACACUAAAAUGGCAUUCAGCAUGACACACACACACACACA